rnacentral:rRNA from 1 species
AACCUUUACACUGCACGACAGUGCGAUAGGGGGACUCCGAGUGUGAGGGCAUAUAGCCCUCGCUUUUCUGUACCGUAAGGUGGUACAGGAACAAGGACUGGGCAAGACCGGUGCCAGCCGCCGCGGUAAUACCGGCAGUCCGAGUGAUGGCCGAUAUUAUUGGGCCUAAAGCGUCCGUAGCUUGCUGUGUAAGUCCAUUGGGAAAUCGACCAGCUCAACUGGUCGGCGUCCGGUGGAAACUACACAGCUUGGGGCCGAGAGACUCAACGGGUACGUCCGGGGUAGGAGUGAAAUCCUGUAAUCCUGGACGGACCACCAAUGGGGAAACCACGUUGAGAGACCGGACCCGACAGUGAGGGACGAAGGCCAGGGUCUCGAACCGGAUUAGAUACCCGGGUAGUCCUGGCUGUAAACAAUGCUCGCUAGGUAUGUCACGCGCCAUGAGCACGUGAUGUGCCGUAGUGAAGACGAUAAGCGAGCCGCCUGGGAAGUACGUCCGCAAGGAUGAAACUUAA